rnacentral:misc_RNA from 1 species
UUUCCGUAGGUGAACCUGCGGAAGGAUCAUUAAUCGAACAAACAUGUUUCUCAGCAUGAUAUGUCAAACCCCACCUGCGUAUCUUACCUGUUGCUUCCGUGCCGCGCAUGCCGCAAACGUGUGCCUUGCGGUCCUCCGAGUAUCUACUACUCUCAGGGCCCGUGGGAGCCGGCACGGGAGGGAACCCACAAACUCUUGCCCUUUGAAUGCCUUCUGUCUGAACUGUAGUACACGAAAAGUUAAAACUUUCAACAACGGAUCUCUUGGUUCUC